ACUUAAAUUGAAGAGUUUGAUCAUGGCUCAGAUUGAACGCUGGCGGCAGGCCUAACACAUGCAAGUCGGGCGGUAGCACAGAGAGCUUGCUCUCGGGUGACGAGCGGCGGACGGGUGAGUAAUGUCUGGGAAACUGCCUGAUGGAGGGGGAUAACUACUGGAAACGGUAGC
rnacentral:rRNA from 1 species